rnacentral:lncRNA from 1 species
GGUUCAAUUUGCAUGAUAAAGUUAAUUAUCUAUAAAGGUAGUUGAAUAUUUGACCUCUUAGCUACUACCACCUAGGAGCUAGUAAUCCUCGGUUCUGGCAAUAGAAUAUUCGAAUUCAAUGGAUUUAUAACAUGACAUUAGUUUGACGGUUUUGUUGUUAAAUAUUUUUAAAUUUUCAAUUAAAUGGCUCUUAUCAUUGAGUAGCAUUAAUGAAAAUUAAUGGAAAGAUAAAAAGGUCAAGAGGUUAUCAUGGUUAGUCGUUUAAAUAAAGAUAAUAUAAUAUAAUAACAUCCGAAUGUUGAAACUAUCAGCACAUCGUUUUUUGUUUUUAUUUAAUUUCUCGCUUUUAAAUUUUCAUGAUUAAAAUAUAUCAUUCUUCCACGAAAUCUCUUCCACGCCACUAGUGCUGAAAUAAAAAAAUAUAUUUGCUUGCGGUUGUUGUUGUUGUCGGCCAUAGAAAUGAAACUAUUGGCUACAGGAAAAAGUAAAGUUGGUUGGCUGGUUCAUGAUUUAGAAUAGAAAAUGCGCCAUGUCAAAAGAAAUAUUAAUCGACAUAAGUAUAGUAAUGUUAGUGUAUUGCUUUCACGGUUUAAGCUCAUUUCAGGAAUUAUUCAAAAUGUGGGUCGUUAUUCGUUCGUAACAGUAAAGUCUGUCGUGACAUCCUUCACGUAUGUUGAACGGGGAAAUUUGUUUAUAUUCUUGUGUGAUUCAUAUAUGAAUCAUAUUUAUCAUAGAUCAUUAUAUAUCAUAUCAUCAUAUAUCAAUCAUAGAUGUAAUUCAUAUUUCAGUUUAUGCAUACUCGUAGGUGGGAUUUUGAAAAUAACGGUUUCCAAAUGACAUGAUAAGAAAUAUUGAGUCAGAGAGUCAGAGUCUGUCAGAGAGUCAAAGUCAGAACUGGAGACAUAGAGUAGUGUUCGAAUCUCACGUUGUCCCAGAACGUCACCUUUUUUAGGUGUUUAUUUUUAGUUAAAUCUGUUUCCAGACACCUCGUUCGAUGUUUAGAUCUACCAGGAACGAGACAGUGUGGGGUUGGCUCAAUUCUGUGAGUUGUCGACCGACCAAAUUCGCUUUCCACUCCAUUGGAUCACCUUGGGACAUUCUUCAGAGUUACGUUUGCUUUCGCAACGCUUCGUUUUCGACGGUUUUCUCAGAUUUCGUUUUUUCCCUGCUUUCAUCUUCAUCAUCAUCACCCAACUAUAUGCUCGUCCACUGCUGGACAUAAGCCUCCCGUAAAGAUUUCAAUCUCCCUCUAUCGUGUGCUGCAUUAAACCAGUUGGUUCGGAUGCGCUUCAGAUCAUCCGACCAAAGAGUGGGCCCUCUGCCCCUGCUGUGGAAAGCAUGGUCUCGUGGUCUCCAUUCAGUUAUUUGUUUAGACCAUCUGCCGUCACUCAUUCUGGCUAGGUGACCCGCCCAGUUCCAUUUUAGAGGCGAUAUUAUUGUGAUGGCAUCUGUUACUCCACUUCACCUCCGUGUCUGGAACUCUAUCUGUCAGAGACAAGUCUAACAUUAUUAUUUCCAUGCCUCUUUGCGCUACUCUUAUUUUGUUCGUGGUGUUCUUUGUUAGAGUCAGUGUUUCGGCUCCAUAAGUUAGUACUGGUAAAAUACAUUGGUCGAAAACUCUCCUCUUAAAACCCAUGGGAAUAUUAGACGUCAAGAUGUAGCUCAAUCUUCCAAAAGCUGCCCAUGCAAGACCUAUUCUUCUGCCAACUUCGCAGCUCAUCCCAUAAGUGUUCGAUCGGAUUUAGGUCAGGACUGUUUGCUGGCCACUCCAUAACCCGAAAACCGACUUCUGCAAUGUAAUCUUGCACGAUUAUUGCGGUGUGCGGCCUGGAAUUGUCAUGCAUAAAGCAAAAAUGACACACAAUACUAAGAGUGCAUUGGUGGAUACUGUCAUGUACGACUGGGUUACCCGGAUAGCUGCAACUCUUUAUAGUGUGCUGUACAAUUUCAAGUUGUUUUGUUUCCGCAUGGCUAUUUCCCAAAUUGGCAAGACGUACAUAGAGCAUUAUUUUCAGUAUAAUAAUCUACUUUUAAGUGUUUUUGGUCCAUCAGAGCCCUAAUGUUCUUUGCUGCUUUUUCGUGAAUCAGUUGAGCGUGUUUACUAAAUU